rnacentral:rRNA from 1 species
ACGAAGCUGGCGGCGUGCUUAACACAUGCAAGUCGAACGCUGAUUUGCGGGUAGCAAUAUUUGCAGGUUGCACUGGCGCAAGGGUGCUUAACACGUGGGCAAUCUGCCGUGAAGCCUGGAAUAACUCGCUGAAAGGCGAGCUAAUGCCGGAUGUGAAAGUUGGGAGGCAUCUUUUGAUUUUCAAAGCUGGCGACCGCACGGCCUGGCACUUCACGAUGAGCCCGCUUCCUAUCAGCUAGUUGGCGAGGUAACGGCUCACCAGGGCUAAGACGGGUAGCUGGUCUGAGAGGACGACCAGCCACACUGGAACUGAGACACGGACCAGACACCUACGGGUGGCAGCAGUCGAGAAUUUUUCUCAAUGGGCGAAAGCCUGACGGAGCGACGCCGCGUGGUCGAUGAAUGGCUUCGGCCCGUACCCCCUGUCAUUUGCGAACAAAUUGUUUUACCUAACACGUAAGCAUUGACAGUAGCGGAAGAGGACGGCACGGCUAACUCUGGGCCAGCAGCCGCGGCAAUACCAGCCGAAUUCCAUCACA